GAGCAACACCCCCACCCCCACCCUGUCACAUGAAUGUACAGUGACGUUAUUCAUAGAUCAACUUCAUUGAGCUCUGGCCAAUACGCUGCCAAUUAUUCUUUCAAAUAGCGUCUUCUCUGUGUUAUCAAAGCCUGAGUAAGAAAGCGGCAGAUCCUCUGGUUUGCCAGACAUACUUUUCUGGUUGCUCACAUCUCUAGUGUCACAACAGGAGCCAGGUUCACAAAAGGUGAGAGUUAGUAGGUAUAAGCAUCCAGGCAGUACGUUCAAAUUUACAUGUAUGUAAAACGACCCCACAUACCCAAAGACAUCGUUUUCUGAGCCUCUCACAUACACAGACGCUGCCAGAGUCCACAGAGCUCAUCCUUCAUUUGCGAUUCCUUUUCGACAUAUGUGCUUGGAAUUCAAGGGAAACAGGAUCCACGGGGGAUUGAUUUAUUACCAUUUGAAGACUGAAGAGAAGAGGCCUAGGAGCGUCUGAUUGAGGAAGCUGCGUGGGAAUCAUGUAGGCUGGGCCCAGAGAAACACUAGCCACAGAGACCUGUCCCUCCCUAAAGGACAGCCCCAGGGCCACUCCACUUCUACAGGUUCUGAAAUGGAGGAGCUGAGGGCUGCCCCAUAGUCACAUUCACUUUCGU
rnacentral:lncRNA from 1 species